rnacentral:lncRNA from 1 species
ACACUGGCAAAGCAACAGCCCUCACCACGCAAAGAAGAAACCGUAGCCACAAUCAGGCAUCUGCUUCCAGAGGUCCUUCAGCCUCCACCACGUGGAAGACGGGCCCACUGCCGUAAUGGCUUUGUCCCUGUUGGCGGCUUCACUGGAACAACCCAUGGUUCGGGGCUUUGCUCAACUGCACUUUGACGGCAGCCGGUUGAAGGAAUAACUGGCUGCCAGGGGCUGGUAGAGUUCAAUGAACAUGCAAAGUGUACAGCUGUUAUCGUUGACUGGUGGCCAAAACCGAAAUUGGAGCUUUGAAACCAGCCGGGUGUAAAUAGUAAGUGUUUGAAACACAGUGGCCCCUUUUUUCUUUUUUUGAGUCUUUAAUCUCAUAAUCUGAUGACAAACAUAAGCAAUAAGCAGUGAAAUAUUUUCCAUUAGGUGUUC